GGCAGUUACUAUCUCCUAGCAUAACCUUUCCUCACAGGUUUAUGCUGGAGGCCGUAUGGGAGUGGUGGAGGCACUGUUGGAAAUGCAGUCGUAAGGAUCAUUCUGUUCGUAAUUUCAAGUAUGAAAAUCAAAAGAAGACCCACGGAAUAUGGGGGACCAGGGACCUGAUGCAGCACCCCGCCUUUUCAGAUGUCACUGGGAAGGUCAGCCUUCCCAAAGAAAAGUUCCAACCGCCUGUGGGAUGGCAGUGGGAUGGCGAGUGGGUCGUGGAGCCCCAGAGAAGAGUGGUUCCCCUGCCCCUCCAAAGGAAGAGAUUUUGUGCCCCCAAGGCUGGCUCUUUGUGGAAGACUGGAAAGUGGAGGAGAAUCGUGCUGUGGACGAUGCUGGCAAGUUUUCCAUUUGUGUUUGUCUUGGCCCUGGGGCCACUCCUGAGAACAAUGACUGCAUAUCUUCUGGGGUCGUUGCCUGGAGCCUCAUGA
rnacentral:lncRNA from 1 species